GCUGCUGGGGCCCCGGCACGACAGUGGAGAUGAACAGCUCGAUGGCAGAGGGUGGGAGCACCAGGGCUGCGGUGGCCCCAGCCAUGUGAGCCGAGUUCCUCGCUGCUGUUCUCAUUUAUAAAUAGAAAGGCAGUUAGUUAUUAUUAGAGCUCGUUGAGUGGCUCUGGAGGAACUACAGAAAACCUUUCCAAAUGAGCUGCUUUCCAGUUCAAGCAAAGCUCCUGGGGUCAUGUCUGGAGGACAAUGUCAUGAGGAGCACCUUGAGUCUUGGAGACAGGUCUGGGCUGGUCCAAGCUCACCUUUGCACCAGGUCAUGGUGCUCCCAGCAUGGCUGGGGUUGGUGCAGUGGCACCCUAUGGGUGGGCUGUCCCCACCUCACUCUGUGCACCCGUGUUUCCCAUUCCUAUGAUAACAAGGCAGGGCAUCAGCAGAGAACCUUACCUUGGGCCUUUAUCUCCAGCACCUUCCCCAGGAACUUGGAGGACACAGCCAGCACCUGCACUGUCAUACCAUCCUGAGGAGCGUGACGAAGCUGCUCCCCGUACCGGGUAGGAGAGCUUUUCAUCACAUCUUCAAGCUGUCCCAAGACCUCUGUGGGAUGAAGGAUGGGCACAGAGAGAGGAAGAUGCACACCUGGAUAACCCAGAAGGUGGGUCAGUUCUCUUGGGUCCAGCAGAAGAAACACCAUCAGGUGCUGCAAGCCUGGGAUGCUUUCUUGGAGCCUUGCCUGUAGGUUCUUGUGCUGAAGUUCCCAUGUCUGUAGCCAGGACAAACAGUGGAGAAGAGGCAUUUUUCCCCUCGUGCUCAUGCAACAGCCUCCCUUCCUCCUCUUAGUCUCAUCGGCAGUGUACAUCGGGAUGUUAAAGCUUGCUAACAGCAGCAGGUACGAAGAAGUAGCGACCCACGUAGCCUCGCAGUGCUGUGCUCUCUGCAGCCCCUCCACCCACCAGGUCAGCCACCCCCAUCACUCCCGCCAGCGGUGCCGGAGGGAUUUCUCCCAGUUUCAACAGAAAUGCCGAAUUCGAGCCCCACUCAUUGUCAGCACACCACAAACGUUGUUGUCCCCUGUUAGUGAGGAAUGAACAAACCCCAGCCCCAGGCUGCUCUCUCUGAUGCUGCCCAGUGUCCACCUCAGACCCCGCUGCUUUUUUUUUUAGAAACCAGGUCUAAAAAAUUGGGUGUAGAACUGCAAUGCCUUCCUUUAGUUCUUCCUUCAUAAGGAUUUUCCUCAGAUGAAAUCUGUUGAAGCCGUAAGUCACCAGGUGGCUUUUUCAGGCACCAGGGAUAUGUUUUCUCUCAGAAGAAAGCUGACAAUCUAGCUGGGACAGACUCUUACGCGCUCUCUUUGCUCCUGGGCUGCCCCCAGCACACCGACUGCUCCAUACACACACCGAAGGGAAGGGCGAGCUGGCGUCUGCACGCAGGAGGAGAGAGCCUGAACGUGUGCACAUAGCAUCCCUGAGACUGGAAAAAUCUGCAAUUGCAGCCAGUAAUGACUAUUACUGCGGUACCACGGCACACAGUGGGAGACACUCCAGGAGACCCUCCUGAAAUCUUUUUUGCAUGACUAACUCCAGGAGAGAGGAGCCCUUCUGCAAGAGCCAGGGAGGGCUCUUCCACGUGCAGCCAGAUUAAAUCAGAACCGUGUCUUUUCCUCUGUAAUGAGACAUUUUAACUCCUCUGCGCUGCGCCUUGCAAGGAACAAGCCCUUGCAGAGAGGGGGGUGCAGCAUCCUCUGGGAUCUGGGAAGGGGACGGUGCCAUGGCUGGCCCAGGGCUCGGGAGGGGCUAAGCAGAGAGCUGGGGACACAUUUCUAUUCCAUCAUUUUUGCACGACAAAGAGACGGCAGUAAGACCCUCCAUCAGUGCCUUGCUUGCUCCUCACAUUGCUAUUUUAAUCUUUUCCCAAACCAAGAGCGGGCAGCUGCCACCAGCCCGUCCCACCAUGGCUGCCACCAGCAGUGGGAUGCUGACGACUGCAGCAAACCUGGCCCUGCUUGUUUACCGUGAUAUUAGUCACUCACUUCCCAAAUCCAUUGGAAAAAACACAGCUCCAGGUCCAAUGCCCCAGCCUUUCUGCUGCCAGACUGACCUCAGCAGCCACAAGAAACAAAUGGCCCAAUUUUAAGGCAGCUGGUGCCCUGCAGUAAACAGGGAGGGUGAGGCUAAAGCAGCAUCCCAUAAACUCACCUGGAAAACAAGUCCCAAGUGCCUUUUAACUCUCCACUUUUGCAGGUCCCUGCGUUCAUGUCACACUCCUAACUUGCCACAGUAAUGAAGUGCCCGCCCCCAAUUGUUUAUGGGUAUAUUUGGACUGUUCCCCACUGUCACAGUCAGUAAAACCCAGCGCAGACCACAGACGACUUCUGCGUUACUGACUGGUCAGCACAGGGCCCAAUAGGGACGGUAUGCAGCAUAAAUUAGCAUUUACCUCCUGGGGCUUCCUCCUGGUUGCAGCAGGAUGGGUACCACACUAACCGCAGCUCAGCACGUGGCCAGAGCAUCUCUUGCCUCCCCGACCCGACAGCAAGUGGCACUCUCCCCACACAGAAGCCCACAGGCAGUGGUUGAUGUGGCCGCAGGGCUUGUCCUUCUCAAAAGCAGAAGGAACUCAUCAUCCAGCCAAAGAAGAUGUAAUUCUCCGGUACGUGAUGGCAUGGAGCCAGUUCCCUUCUCUGACCACUCUUCAUUAACCAAAGGCAAAGCACUGCAAAGCAGAACAUUUCACAGCUGCCCUGUCCUGCCGUCAGCAAGAUGCCGUGAACAUCCUGACCCGACAACCCACAGGGAUGCUGGCUCCGUCGCAGCACUGGGACCUUUUCCAGUGACUUCAGUGGGGAGGGCUGGGGACCAGGGUCCUGACCCAGGUGUUUGCAGCACAUCGCUGAAGCUGUGAAGACACAAAACUCACCCAGUCUCACCUCCCAGGCCAGCUCCCUGUCCAUUUCAGGAUACAUCCCAGGAGGAUAAAGUCCUAGAGUACAAGUUUUCCUGGCAUAUUUGCAACCUGUUCUGCCUGAAAUAACUACAGGAGUGCCGGGGCCUUGUAGUCAGUAGCUUUUCCCAGCAUAACACCAGGGAACAUAGCUGAGACAUUGUGUUUUACUUCAUGUAUUUAUUUAUUCUUCCUUAUUUUGAAUGUGCAAUAUCACAGCCAAUGAGUUAUAGAUACUGCCAUUAACAAUAGCUGGAAAAAGUUUCAACCAUUUACAGACACUGAAAUGUUAGCUAAAUAGAAAAGCUUUUGAACAUUUUGCAAGACCAGCUUUAAAAACAGGAUGUGCAAACCCUUUAUUUUGGGACGUGUUUAUCCCAGUGAUCAGAUGUUCCACCCCGGUAUCCCUGUUAUGGCAAUAAAAGCCCUAUAAAA